UGUGUAUUAUCAAGUCUUGCCCAGGGGUGGAGUUAAGGCGUACCUACAGAAAUAAUAACUGACCACCUCCUUUGUUCCAGACCACAGUCAAUCCAAAUGGAAACAUUUGGCUCUAUCUUCUUUUAUGUACCUGUCACAGAAAUAAUAAUUGCAUCUACAAAUUUGUUAUUAUUUUCCCAUGCCAUAGCCAUGUUGCACGCCCCACCCACGAUCCAAUAGGACAGACAUCAUAAUUUCUGCCACACGGUUUAAGUUGUCAAACUCAAGUCUAGGCUUAAUUAAGAGCUUGUCCUAUCUCAAAUAUAAUAAAAAUGAGGCUUGAUUAUUAAGCUGUGGGUAAGUAUUAAUGUUUCUCUUGGAUAUGAUACCGGAACCUACUGGUCUUCAUGUAACUAAUACCAUUACCAUAUCAAAGGAUUGAACUAUCCAUUGAUAGUUUCAAGCCAUAUGGUCAAAGUCAGUUAGUUUACAUUGAAACUAGACCUACCGGCGGAACCGAAUUGCCGAAGUUCUCGAAGUGCCGAAUUUCGGAAUGCGGAACCAAACC